CAGAGGGUGGGGAGAAAAGGAGGCCUGGGCAGCCCAGCCCCACUGUGGGCUCAGGGGCUGUGUGCACCAUGGCCUGGACUCCUCUCCUCCUCGUGCUCCUCUCUCACUGCACAGGUUCCCUCUCCCAGCCUGUGCUGACUCAGCCGCCCUCCCUCUCUGCAUCUCCUGGAGCCACAGCCAGACUCACCUGCACCCUGAGCAGUGGCUUCAGUGUUGGCAGCUAUGCUAUAUUUUGGUACCAGCAGAAGCCAGGGAGCCCUCCCUGGUAUCUGCUGUACUACUACACAGACUCAGACAAGCAGCAGGGCUCCGGGGUCCCCAGCCGCUUCUCUGGAUCCAAAGACGCCUCGGCCAAUGCAGGGCUCCUGACCAUCUCUGGGCUGCAGCCUGAGGACGAGGCCGACUAUUACUGUGCUGUACAUUAUGGCAGUGGUAGCAGCUACGGUUACUCACAGUGGCUCAGAUGACGAGGAAGUGAGACA